rnacentral:rRNA from 1 species
GACGAACGCUGGCGGCGUGCCUAAUACAUGCAAGUUGAGCGCUGAAGGUUGGUACUUGUACCAACUGGAUGAGCAGCGAACGGGUGAGUAACGCGUGGGGAAUCUGCCUUUGAGCGGGGGACAACAUCUGGAAACGAAUGCUAAUACCGCAUAAAAACUUUAAACACAAGUUUUAAGUUUGAAAGAUGCAAUUGCAUCACUCAAAGAUGAUCUCGCGUUGUAUUAGCUAGUUGGUGAGGUAAAGGCUCACCAAGGCGAUGAUACAUAGCCGGCCUGAGAAGGUGAACGGCCAAAAUGGGACUGAGACACGGCCCAAACUCCUACGGGAAGCAGCAGUAGGGAAUCUUCGGCAAUGGGCGGAAGUCUGGCCGAGCAACGCCGCGUGGGGGGAGGAGGUUUUCGGAUCGUAAAACUCUGUUGGUAGAGAAGAAAGUUGGGGAGAGUGGAAAGCUCAUCAAGUGACGGUAACUAACCAGAAAGGGACGGCUAACUACGUG